GGUGAUCAGCUACUGCGAGGCAACGUUCACACCGGUCAUUCGCGACCAGGCGGCGCCAUCGUUCGCGACGACCGGUAUACUUGUCGCAAUCAC
rnacentral:pre_miRNA from 1 species